GACGAACGCUGGCGGCGUGCUUAACACAUGCAAGUCGAACGGAAAGGCCCUGCUUUUGUGGGGUGCUCGAGUGGCGAACGGGUGAGUAACACGUGAGUAACCUGCCCUUGACUUUGGGAUAACUUCAGGAAACUGGGGCUAAUACCGGAUAGGAGCUCCUGCUGCAUGGUGGGGGUUGGAAAGUUUCGGCGGUUGGGGAUGGACUCGCGGCUUAUCAGCUUGUUGGUGGGGUAGUGGCUUACCAAGGCUUUGACGGGUAGCCGGCCUGAGAGGGUGACCGGCCACAUUGGUACUGAGAUACGGCCCAGACUCCUACGGGAGGCAGCAAUGGGGAAUAUUGCACAAUGGGCGGAAGCCUGAUGCAGCAACGCCGCGUGCGGGAUGACGGCCUUCGGGUUGUAAACCGCUUUCGCCUGUGACGAAGCGUGAGUGACGGUAAUGGGUAAAGAAGCACCGGCUAACUACGUG
rnacentral:rRNA from 1 species